CCUACGGGAGGCAGCAGUGAGGAAUAUUGGUCAAUGGCCGGAAGGCUGAACCAGCCAAGCCGCGUGAAGGACGAAGGUGCCACGCAUUGUAAACUUCUUUUGUCAAGGGACAAAAUCAGGCUCGAGAGCCUGACCGAGGGUACUUGAAGAAAAAGCAUCGGCUAACUCCGUGCCAGCAGCCGCGGUAAUACGGAGGAUGCGAGCGUUAUCCGGAUUUAUUGGGUUUAAAGGGUGCGUAGGCGGACUGUUAAGUCAGCGGUAAAAGCCCGGGGCUCAACCCCGGCGAGCCGUUGAAACUGGGGGUCUUGAGAUGUCGAGAAGUAUGCGGAAUGCGUGGUGUAGCGGUGAAAUGCAUAGAUAUCACGCAGAACUCCGAUUGCGAAGGCAGCAUACCGGCGCUCAACUGACGCUCAUGCACGAAAGUGUGGGUAUCGAACAGGAGUAGAUACCCCGGUAGUC
rnacentral:rRNA from 1 species